UUGGAAACUGGUGAACUUGGUCCAGUUGAGGAGAGUGGAAUUCCAUGUGUAGCGGUGAAAUGCGUAGAUUUUAUGGGAGGAAACCCCGGUGGCGAAAGGCGGCUUUUUGGACUGUAAACUGACCGCUGAGGCUCGAAAAGCGUUGGGGAGCAAACCAGGAGUUAGAUACCCUGGUAGUCCACGCCGUAAACGAUGAGUGCUUAGAUGUUUCGGGGGGUAUUCCACCCCUGAGUGUCGCAGCUAAACGCAUUAAGCACUCCGCCUGGGGAGUACGACCGCAAGGUUGAAACUCAAAGGAAUUGACGGGGGGCCCGCACAAGCGGUGGAGCAUGUGGUUUAAUUCGAAGCAACGCGAAGAACCUUACCAGGUCUUGACAUCCCUCUGAUCGCCCUAGAGAUAGGGUUUCCCUUCGGGGCAGAGGUGACAGGUGGUGCAUGGUUGUCGUCAGCUCGUGUCGUGAGAUGUUGGGUUAAGUCCCGCAACGAGCGCAACCCCUAUUGUUAGUUGCCAUCAUUAAGUUGGGCACUCUAGCGAGACCGCCGGUAAUAAACCGGAGGAAGGUGGGGAUGACGUCAAAUCAUCAUGCCCCUUAUGACCUGGGCUACACACGUGCUACAAUGGGAAGUACAACGAGUCGCAAGCCGGUGACGGCAAGCUAAUCUCUUAAAGCUUCUCUCAGUUCGGAUUGUAGGCUGCAACUCGCCUACAUGAAGUCGGAAUCGCUAGUAAUCGCGGAUCAGCACGCCGCGGUGAAUACGUUCCCGGGCCUUGUACACACCGCCC
rnacentral:rRNA from 1 species